rnacentral:rRNA from 1 species
UAAGGAAUAUUGGUCAAUGGAGGCAACUCUGAACCAGCCAUGCCGCGUGCAGGAAGACUGCCUAUGGGUUGUAAACUGCUUUUAUCCGGGAAUAAACCUAAAUACGCGUAUUUAGCUGAAUGUACCGGAAGAAUAAGGAUCGGCUAACUCCGUG